GACGAGACUGCCGCGGGAGGCCCUCACAAGAAGCGAAGGAAGGGGAGAGCGCAAUGAGCGCUCCUGAGGUAGUCCCAGGCUUUGGAAUGCACUGCCCAGAAAAGCCAGGUUCGGCCCCUUCGUAUUGGCCUUCCUGUUAUGAGGCAAAAGACCUUCCUCUUCAGGCAGCCUUUUAAGUAAUGGAGAGCCUUGAGUAUGAGGACAAGGAGUUUAAAGCUGACAUAUGAUACCCAAUUCAAGGAGAUGGCUCUCUUAAAGAACUACAGAUGUAUCAAGCAAAAGGAGGUCAAGCUGACCAUGACUAUGGCUACAUCCUGACAACUCCAAGGCGAUUAAGCAAACUUCAUUUCUUUAAGCAUGACUGAGGCAGCCCAAAUCAGUGUAACCCAGUUAGUAUUGUCUAAGCAAUGUGUUGAAUCAUGUUCAUUUGGGGAGUGAUAAGCAGGAGAACUGACUGACCCUCAACAUGCUCUGGGGAUUUCCCACCUCAGACUUUGGGAAAGGGAGAAAGCACACCUGUAAAGGCUCAAUAUUAGUGCUAAUUUGGCAUAGAAUUUGCUUCCUGUUCCAAAACUUGCUGGAACAAUUUGGAGCAGUUUCACUCAAAAAGAAAGCCUUCUUUUUGUUACUGUGUAAUAAUAAUUGUAAAGAAAAAAAAUUAACACCACAGAACUGUAGUUUCCCACUUGUUCAGGUCUUAACAUGAUUGAACUAUUUUUUUGUGUUUAGACAAACAUUGAAAAUUGCUUCCAUUGCUUUCUGAUUUUUACCUCCCGGCCUUAGUCUGUGAUUUAUUGUCUGCCUUUCAAAUGUGACAUUUUUGUUGAUCUUCUUUAACAAUUAUCCACCCACUGUAUUAUACUAUUGAAACAGAGCUUCUCUACCCCCUCAUCCUUUUGGGCUUGCCAUGUUGCAAACAGAGUAUAUCAAGCUGAUGAAAUCUUACUUUUCUUUUUUAGAAAAGUUGGACUUUCCCAAGUAUAUUUGCAAAGGAACUGAACCACAGAACUCACGGGGUGGAACUCAAGGAGUAGGUAGCUACUCUAUUAAGUAUUGAGUAGCUAGUGGGGGGAAAGAUGCCCAAAAAGAAUAUGUGAAAGACUAUGCCGUUAUGAAUUAAAUAGGGUGGAAGCUCUCCUUCUCUCUCUCUCUCUCUCUGCCCCUGAACAUAUACUAGAACUGAGAACCAUCCAGUACAGUACAUUGCCAAAAAGUUCUGAGCAAAGAGAAGAAAGUACUUCUUCAUGCAACACAUGGGUUGAUUAUGGAAUUCACCAUAACAUUGCUGCCUUAAGUCCUGAAAAGAAGAAAGAGAGGAUAAAAAGAAAUUAAUUAAAUAAA